UGGGGAAUAUUGGGCAAUGGAGGAAACUCUUACCCAGCAAUGCCGCGUGAGUGAAUUAGAAGGUCUUCGGAUUGUAAAGCUCUUUGAUUAGGGAAGAUAAUGACGUGUACCUAAAGAACAAGCCCCGGCUAACUAUGUGCCAGCAGCCGCGGUAAUACAUAGGGGGCGAGCGUUGUCCGGAAUGACUGGGCGUAAAGGGUGCGUAGGUGGUGUAUCAAGUUGGAAGUGUAAUACCCAGGGCUUAACUCGGGUGCUGCUUCCAAAACUGAUUUACUUGAGUGUCGGAGGGGAAAGUGGAAUUCCUAGUGUAGCGGUGGAAUGCGUAGAUAUUAGGAGGAACACCGGUGGCGAAAGCGGCUUUCUGGACGACAACUGACACUGAGGCACGAAAGCGUGGGGAGCAAACAGG
rnacentral:rRNA from 1 species